AUACGUAGGGUGCGAGCGUUGUCCGGGAUUACUGGGCGUAAAGAGCUCGUAGGUGGUUUGUCGCGUCGUCUGUGAAAUUCCGGGGCUUAACUCCGGGCGUGCAGGCGAUACGGGCAUAACUUGAGUACUGUAGGGGAGACUGGAAUUCCUGGUGUAGCGGUGAAAUGCGCAGAUAUCAGGAGGAACACCGGUGGCGAAGGCGGGUCUCUGGGCAGUAACUGACGCUGAGGAGCGAAAGCAUGGGUAGCGAACAGGAUUAGAUACCCUGGUAGUCCAUGCCGUAAACGGUGGGCGCUAGGUGUAGGGGUCUUCCACGACUUCUGUGCCGUAGCUAACGCAUUAAGCGCCCCGCCUGGGGAGUACGGCCGCAAGGCUAAAACUCAAAGGAAUUGGCGGGG
rnacentral:rRNA from 1 species